rnacentral:rRNA from 1 species
GAACUGAAGAGUUUGAUCCUGGCUCAGAUUGAACGCUGGCGGCAUGCCUUACACAUGCAAGUCGAACGCGAAAGUAGGGGCAACCCUGCGAGUAGAGUGGCGAACGGGUGAGUAAUACAUCGGAACGUACCCAGGAGUGGGGGACAACCUCGAGAAAUCGAGGCUAAUACCGCAUACGUCCUGAGGGAGAAAGCGGGGGAUCCGCAAGGACCUCGCGCUCAUGGAGCGGCCGAUGUCGGAUUAGCUAGUUGGCGGGGUAAAGGCCCACCAAGGCUACGAUCCGUAGCUGGUUUGAGAGAACGACCAGCCACACUGGGACUGAGACACGGCCCAGACUCCUACGGGAGGCAGCAGUGGGG